AUUGAACGCUGGCGGCAUGCCUAACACAUGCAAGUCGAACGGCAGCACAGGUAGCAAUACCGGGUGGCGAGUGGCGGACGGGUGAGUAAUGCAUCGGGAUCUACCCAAACGUGGGGGAUAACGUAGGGAAACUUACACUAAUACCGCAUACGUCCCAUGGGAGAAAGCGGGGGCUCGCAAGACCUCGCGCGGUUGGACGAACCGAUGUGCGAUUAGCUAGUUGGCGGGGUAACGGCCCACCAAGGCGACGAUCAGUAGCCGGACUGAGAGGUUGAACGGCCACAUUGGGACUGAGACACGGCCCAG
rnacentral:rRNA from 1 species